rnacentral:rRNA from 1 species
AGAGCGAACGCUGGCGGCAGGCCUAAUACAUGCAAGUCGAACGGACCCUUCGGGGUUAGCGGCGGACGGGUGAGUAACACGUGGGAACGUGCCCUUUGGUUCGGAACAACUCAGGGAAACUUGAGCUAAUACCGAAUGUGCCCCCAUCCUUAAACAAGAUGGGUGGGAAAGAUUUAUCGCCAUUGGAGCGGCCCGCGUCUGAUUAGCUAGUUGGUGAGGUAAAGGCUCACCAAGGCGACGAUCAGUAGCUGGUCUGAGAGGAUGAUCAGCCACACUGGGACUGAGACACGGCCCAGACUCCUACGGGAGGCAGCAGUAGGGAAUCUUGCGCAAUGGGCGAAAGCCUGACGCAGCCAUGCCGCGUGAAUGAUGAAGGUCUUAGGAUUGUAAAAUUCUUUCAGCGGGGACGAUAAUGACGGUACCGCAGAAGAAGCCCCGGCUAACUUCGUGCCAGCAGCCGC